rnacentral:rRNA from 1 species
AGUAAUCAAACGAGAUUUUCUUAGUAGCGGCGAGCGAACGGGAAAGAGGCCAAACCGGAGCGGGCAACCGCACCGGGGUUGAGGACAGUCAUCAAGUGUAAAUGAGGUAGAAGAAUCGAGUUGGAAAGCUCAGCCGAAGAAGGUGAAAGCCCUGUAAUCGAAACCUUGCAUACACGGGACUGUAUCCAGAGUACCACGAGACACGUGAAACCUUGUGGGAAGCAGGGGGGACCACCCUCCAAGCCAAAAUACUGAUAUCGACCGAUAGCGCAUAGUACCGUGAGGGAAAGGUGAAAAGAACCCCUGGCGGGGAGUGAAAGAGAACCUGAAACCGUAUGUCUACAAACAGUCGAAGUCUGUAUAUAUAUCAGGACGACGGCGUGCCUAUUGAAGAAUGAACCGACGAGUUACUGUUGCUAGCGAGGUUAAGUGGAAAACAUGGAGCCGCAGCGAAAGCGAGUCUGAACAGGGCGUUCAGUUAGUAAUAGUAGACCCGAAACCGUAGUGAUCUAUCCAUGGCCAGGUUGAAGCACAGGUAAAAUUGUGUGGAGGACCGAACUCGUGAGCGUUGAAAAGCUUUGGGAUGAGUUGUGGAUAGGGGUGAAAUGCCAAUCGAACACGGAGAUAGCUGGUUCUCCCCGAAAUAGCUUUAGGGCUAGCCUCGAGGUAGAGAGUAUAGGCGGUAGAGCACUGAUCGGGCUAGGGGCCAUACCGGUUACCGAACCUAGUCAAACUACGAAUGGCUAUACUUAUACUCGGGAGUCAGACAGUGAAUGAUAAGGUCCAUUGUCAAGAGGGAAACAGCCCAGAACACCGACUAAGGUCCCCAAUGUUACACUAAGUGGCGAAGGAUGUGGAAUUUCCAAAACAACCAGGAUGUUGGCUUAGAAGCAGCCACCAUUUAAAGAGUGCGUAAUAGCUCACUGGUCGAGAGACUCUGCGCCGAAAAUGUCCGGGGCUAAAGUGUAAAACCGAAGUCGUGUCAUAUGCAGCAAUGUAUAUGGGUAGGGGAGCGUUCUCAUCGGGCUGAAGCAGUACCGUAAGGAGUUGUGGACUGAUGAGAAGUGAGAAUGUCGGUAUGAGUAGCGAAAAGAAUGGUGAGAAUCCAUUCCACCGAAAGCCUAAGGGUUCCUGAGCAACGAUCGUCGUCUCAGGGUAAGUCGGGACCUAAGCCGAGGCGGAAAAGCGUAGGCGAUGGACAACAGGUUGAAAUUCCUGUACCGGUGUGAAUCGUUUGAUCGAUGGAGUGACACAGUAAGGUAGGUCAGCACGCGAUUGGAAGUGCGUGUUUAAGCAUGUAGGUUGAGUUAUAGGCAAAUCCGUAACUCUAAAAGCUGAGAUGUGAUGACGAGCUGUUUACAGCGAAGUGAUUGAUCCUACACUGUCGAGAAAAGCUUCUAGGUAGAGACACAUCGCCCGUACCAAAACCGACACAGGUAGGCGGGGAGAGAAUCCUAAGGUGCGCGGGAAAACCCUCGUUAAGGAACUCGGCAAAAUGCCUCCGUAACUUCGGGAAAAGGAGGACUCAUGUAGUGUGAAGAGCAGAAGCGCUUGGAGCAUGAAUGAGUGGCACAAGAGAGGCGCAAGCGACUGUUUACCACAAACACAGGUGCCUGCUAAAGCGAAAGCUGAUGUAUAGGUGCUGACACCUGCCCGGUGCUGGAAGGUUAAGAGGAGGGGUUAGACUUCGGUCGAAGCUCUGAAUUGAAGCCCCAGUAAACGGCGGCCGUAACUAUAACGGUCCUAAGGUAGCGAAAUUCCUUGUCGGGUAAGUUCCGACCCGCACGAAAG